UACGUAGGGUGCGAGCGUUGUCCGGAAUUAUUGGGCGUAAAGAGCUUGUAGGCGGUCUGUCGCGUCUGCUGUGAAAAUCCGGGGCUCAACCCCGGACUUGCAGUGGGUACGGGCAGACUAGAGUGUGGUAGGGGAGACUGGAAUUCCUGGUGUAGCGGUGGAAUGCGCAGAUAUCAGGAGGAACACCGAUGGCGAAGGCAGGUCUCUGGGCCAUUACUGACGCUGAGAAGCGAAAGCAUGGGGAGCGAACAGG
rnacentral:rRNA from 1 species